rfam:Aedes aegypti strain Liverpool supercont1.557 genomic scaffold, whole genome shotgun sequence.
UAAUCGGCCCUUUUCAGGGCCAUCAAGAGUUUACUUAUAAGUUGUUU